UCUAGUGGUUAAUCUAGGAAGUUCAAUAAGAAAACCCGGUAUUUUUUAAAUUUAUCAUGACGGUAAUGAAAAUAAUAUUUUUUUGUAUGGGAAAAAUUGAAAAUAGAAAAAUAUAAUAAAUAUGGCAUAACGUGAAAGCAAAAUGGUAUACAAAAAAAUUUUGGAAAAAGAUGAUAUAUUUAUAUAUUGUUGAAGCCAAGUCGGAUCAAAAAGAUAUUGUUCCAUAUUCCAAGUGGAUCGAUGAUAAUAACCUAUAAAGGUUUCAUCCUAUCAAAGAAGAUUCAUGAAAAUUCUCCAAAAGAGAAGAAAGAUGGGACGCUCUGUGGAAAUAAAGAAGUAUGUUCAAGAGCCAUUAAUCUUAUUCGCAGAUACUGCUAAGAAGAGCAUAUUUGAAUGUAAAAUAUUACUUUGUAACAAGGAAGUUAAUAAUUGAAAUGUGCAUGAAACUAGAAAUAUGAUCUAAGAUAAAUAGAAAGUCGACAAUGCCUUAAUAAAAAAUAUUCUGCAGACAAAAUAAAAUUCCUAAUGUGAAAUAUAAACUGGUAAUCUAGAAAUGUUUAUAUUCAUAAAAUGAUUAAUCUUUGGAACAAAA